rnacentral:rRNA from 1 species
UACGGAGGGUGCAAGCGUUGUCCGGAUUUAUUGGGUUUAAAGGGUGCGUAGGCGGCUAAUUAAGUCAGCGGUGAAAUUCCACAGCUCAACUGUGGAACUGCCAUUGAUACUGGUUGGCUUGAGUACAGAUGAGGUAGGCGGAAUUGACAGUGUAGCGGUGAAAUUCGUAGAUAUUCGGAAGAACACCAGUGGCGAAGGCGACUGACUGGACAAGUAUUGACGCUGAGGUGCGAAAGCGUGGGGAGCAAACAGG